rnacentral:rRNA from 1 species
UUAAGCGACUAAGCGUACACGGUGGAUGCCCUGGCAGUCAGAGGCGAUGAAGGACGUGCUAAUCUGCGAAAAGCGUCGGUAAGGUGAUAUGAACCGUUAUAGCCGGCGAUGUCCGAAUGGGGAAACCCAGUGCAAUUCGUUGCACUAUCGUUAACUGAAUACAUAGGUUAACGAGGCGAACCGGGGGAACUGAAACAUCUAAGUACCCCGAGGAAAAGAAAUCAACCGAGAUUCCCCCAGUAGCGGCGAGCGAACGGGGAGCAGCCCAGAGUCUGAAUCAGCUUGUGUGUUAGUGGAACGGUCUGGAAAGUCCGACGGUACAGGGUGAUAGUCCCGUACACCAAAAUGCACAGGUUGUGAACUCGAAGAGUAGGGCGGGACACGUGGUAUCCUGUCUGAAUAUGGGGGGACCAUCCUCCAAGGCUAAAUACUCCUGACUGACCGAUAGUGAACCAGUACCGUGAGGGAAAGGCGAAAAGAACCCCGGCGAGGGGAGUGAAAAAGAACCUGAAACCGUGUACGUACAAGCAGUGGGAGCACCUUCGGGUGUGACUGCGUACCUUUUGUAUAAUGGGUCAGCGACUUAUAUUCUGUAGCAAGGUUAACCGUAUAGGGGAGCCGCAGGGAAACCGAGUCUUAACUGGGCGUUAAGUUGCAGGGUAUAGACCCGAAACCCGGUGAUCUAGCCAUGGGCAGGUUGAAGGUUGGGUAACACUAACUGGAGGACCGAACCGACUAAUGUUGAAAAAUUAGCGGAUGACUUGUGGCUGGGGGUGAAAGGCCAAUCAAACCGGGAGAUAGCUGGUUCUCCCCGAAAGCUAUUUAGGUAGCGCCUCGUGAAUUCAUCUUCGGGGGUAGAGCACUGUUUCGGCUAGGGGGUCAUCCCGACUUACCAACCCGAUGCAAACUACGAAUACCGAAGAAUGUUAUCACGGGAGACACACGGCGGGUGCUAACGUCCGUCGUGAAGAGGGAAACAACCCAGACCGCCAGCUAAGGUCCCAAAGUCAUGGUUAAGUGGGAAACGAUGUGGGAAGGCACAGACAGCCAGGAUGUUGGCUUAGAAGCAGCCAUCAUUUAAAGAAAGCGUAAUAGCUCACUGGUCGAGUCGGCCUGCGCGGAAGAUGUAACGGGGCUAAACCAUGCACCGAAGCUGCGGCAGCGACACUAUGUGUUGUUGGGUAGGGGAGCGUUCUGUAAGCCUGCGAAGGUGACCUGUGAGGGUUGCUGGAGGUAUCAGAAGUGCGAAUGCUGACAUAAGUAACGAUAAAGCGGGUGAAAAGCCCGCUCGCCGGAAGACCAAGGGUUCCUGUCCAACGUUAAUCGGGGCAGGGUGAGUCGACCCCUAAGGCGAGGCCGAAAGGCGUAGUCGAUGGGAAACAGGUUAAUAUUCCUGUACUUGGUGUUACUGCGAAGGGGGGACGGAGAAGGCUAUGUUAGCCGGGCGACGGUUGUCCCGGUUUAAGCAUGUAGGCUGGUUGUCCAGGCAAAUCCGGAUAAUCAAGGCUGAGGUGUGAUGACGAGGCACUACGGUGCUGAAGUAACAAAUGCCCUGCUUCCAGGAAAAGCCUCUAAGCAUCAGGUAACAUUAAAUCGUACCCCAAACCGACACAGGUGGUCAGGUAGAGAAUACCAAGGCGCUUGAGAGAACUCGGGUGAAGGAACUAGGCAAAAUGGUGCCGUAACUUCGGGAGAAGGCACGCUGGUGUGUAGGUGAAGUCCCUGCGGAUGGAGCUGAGACCAGUCGAAGAUACCAGCUGGCUGCAACUGUUUAUUAAAAACACAGCACUGUGCAAACACGAAAGUGGACGUAUACGGUGUGACGCCUGCCCGGUGCCGGAAGGUUAAUUGAUGGGGUUAUCCGUAAGGAGAAGCUCUUGAUCGAAGCCCCGGUAAACGGCGGCCGUAACUAUAACGGUCCUAAGGUAGCGAAAUUCCUUGUCGGGUAAGUUCCGACCUGCACGAAUGGCGUAAUGAUGGCCAGGCUGUCUCCACCCGAGACUCAGUGAAAUUGAACUCGCUGUGAAGAUGCAGUGUACCCGCGGCAAGACGGAAAGACCCCGUGAACCUUUACUAUAGCUUGACACUGAACAUUGAGCCUUGAUGUGUAGGAUAGGUGGGAGGCUUUGAAGCGUGGACGCCAGUCUGCGUGGAGCCAACCUUGAAAUACCACCCUUUAAUGUUUGAUGUUCUAACGUUGGCCCCUUACCGGGGUUGCGGACAGUGUCUGGUGGGUAGUUUGACUGGGGCGGUCUCCUCCCAAAGCGUAACGGAGGAGCACGAAGGUUAGCUAAUCCUGGUCGGACAUCAGGAGGUUAGUGCAAUGGCAUAAGCUAGCUUGACUGCGAGCGUGACGGCGCGAGCAGGUGCGAAAGCAGGUCAUAGUGAUCCGGUGGUUCUGAAUGGAAGGGCCAUCGCUCAACGGAUAAAAGGUACUCCGGGGAUAACAGGCUGAUACCGCCCAAGAGUUCAUAUCGACGGCGGUGUUUGGCACCUCGAUGUCGGCUCAUCACAUCCUGGGGCUGAAGUAGGUCCCAAGGGUAUGGCUGUUCGCCAUUUAAAGUGGUACGCGAGCUGGGUUUAGAACGUCGUGAGACAGUUCGGUCCCUAUCUGCCGUGGGCGCUGGAGAAUUGAGGGGGGCUGCUCCUAGUACGAGAGGACCGGAGUGGACGCAUCACUGGUGUUCGGGUUGUCAUGCCAAUGGCACUGCCCGGUAGCUAAAUGCGGAAGAGAUAAGUGCUGAAAGCAUCUAAGCACGAAACUUGCCCCGAGAUGAGUUCUCCCUGAGACUUUAAGUCUCCUGAAGGAACGUUAAAGACGAUGACGUUGAUAGGCCGGGUGUGUAAGCGCAGCGAUGCGUUGAGCUAACCGGUACUAAUGAACCGUGAGGCUUAACCUU